CCUAAGGGCAUUUCCCUAGUAGCGGCGAGCGAAGCGGGAAGAGCUCAAAUUUAUAAUCUGGCACCUUCGGUGUCCGAGUUGUAAUCUCUAGAAGUGUUUUCCGCGUUGGACCGCACACAAGUCUGUUGGAAUACAGCGGCAUAGUGGUGAAACCCCCGUAUAUGGUGCGGACGCCCAGCGCUUUGUGAUACACUUUCAAUGAGUCGAGUUGUUUGGGAAUGCAGCUCAAAUUGGGUGGUAAAUUCCAUCUAAAGCUAAAUAUUGGCGAGAGACCGAUAGCGAACAAGUACCGUGAGGGAAAGAUGAAAAGCACUUUGGAAAGAGAGUUAACAGUACGUGAAAUUGUUGGAAGGGAAACGCUUGAAGUCAGACUUGCUUGCCGGAGCUUGCUUCGGUUUGCAGGCCAGCAUCAGUUUUCCGGGGUGGAUAAUGACGGUUUGAAGGUAGCAGUCUCGGCUGUGUUAUAGCUUUCCGUUGGAUACAUCCUGGGGGACUGAGGAACGCAGCGUGCUUUUUGCGAAAGACUCGUCUUUUUCACGCUUAGGAUGCUGGUGGAAUGGCUUUAAACGACCCGUCUAAAACGGGGGGAACAAAAAAAUAAGUGGAUUAAAAAAAAGGGGUGCUGGGGGGGCGGGGGUGGUUGGGGGCGGGGGGUGUGGGGGGGGGUGGGGUCAG
rnacentral:rRNA from 1 species